rnacentral:rRNA from 1 species
GAUGAACGCUGGCGGCGUGCCUAAUACAUGCAAGUCGAGCGAACAGAUGAGGAGCUUGCUCCUCUGACGUUAGCGGCGGACGGGUGAGUAACACGUGGAUAACCUACCUAUAAGACUGGGAUAACUUCGGGAAACCGGAGCUAAUACCGGAUAAUAUAUUGAACCGCAUGGUUCAAUAGUGAAAGACGGUUUUGCUGUCACUUAUAGAUGGAUCCGCGCCGCAUUAGCUAGUUGGUAAGGUAACGGCUUACCAAGGCAACGAUGCGUAGCCGACCUGAGAGGGGGGUCGGCCACACUGGAACUGAGACACGGUCCAGACUCCUACGGGAGGCAGCAGUAGGGAAUCUUCCGCAAUGGGCGAAAGCCUGACGGAGCAACGCCGCGUGAGUGAUGAAGGUCUUCGGAUCGUAAAACUCUGUUAUUAGGGAAGAACAAAUGUGUAAGUAACUAUGCACGUCUUGACAGUACCUAAUCAGAAAGCCACGGCUAACUACGUG